AUACAGAGGGUGCGAGCGUUAAUCGGAAUUACUGGGCGUAAAGCGCGCGUAGGCGGCUACUUAAGUCAGAUGUGAAAUCCCCGGGCUCAACCUGGGAACUGCAUCUGAUACUGGGUAGCUAGAGUUUUGGAGAGGGAAGUAGAAUUUCAGGUGUAGCGGUGAAAUGCAUAGAGAUCUGAAGGAAUACCAGUGGCGAAGGCGACUUCCUGGCCAAAAACUGACGCUGAGGUGCGAAAGCGUGGGUAGCGAACGGGAUUAGAAACCCUAGUAGUCC
rnacentral:rRNA from 1 species